CGGGACUGGUGAGUAACGCGUGAGGAACCUGCCUUUCAGAGGGGGACAACAGUUGGAAACGACUGCUAAUACCGCAUAAGCCCACGGCUCGGCAUCGAGCAGAGGGAAAAGGAGCAAUCCGCUUUGAGAUGGCCUCGCGUCCGAUUAGCUAGUUGGUGAGGUAACGGCCCACCAAGGCGACGAUCGGUAGCCGGACUGGGAGGUUGAACGGCCACAUUGGGACUGAGACACGGCCCAG
rnacentral:rRNA from 1 species